AAGUCGUAACAAGGUUUCCGUAGGUGAACCUGCGGAAGGAUCAUUCGCAAUAAAUGGGUUUUUUAUAAUUCAUAGAAGAAAAAAAAAUCCCUUACCACCUUGAGUGCAAUGUAUGAGAAAAGGGGCCAUUUGGCUUGUCUGAAAUAAACAUAUUCUUUGAAUAACUUAAUUCAAUAAUACAACUUUCAACAACGGAUCUCUUGGCUCUC
rnacentral:misc_RNA from 1 species